rnacentral:misc_RNA from 1 species
UGGAAACAAACAGUUUUCCUCUCUGGUCAUGGAAGAAAAGCAUACUCUAGCUCAGGUUUGCCGGCCUGGCCUUUUUCUCUUUUCGCACCUUGGCAGAAUAGCUUCACCUCUAUCCUGCAUUCUUGGAAACCUGCUGAGAUUCUAUCCGAUUUACAAGCGGCCUCCAGGGUCACCCCCAGCGCCUUAGCAAGUGCACAAAAUUUAGAAGCCGCAGGUUGCGGGACAGGGGAGACACGGACUGAGUUUUUUCCCUUAACCUUUGUAAGCAAGUCGUUUUAAUUUUCGGAGUCAAGACGCCCCAUCCGGGAAAAGUGUCCAAGAUGAAUGAUAAUCUGUUUGUCAGUUUGGACAGGCUUUUGUUGGAAUUUGUUUUCCAGUAUGAGCAAGACAUAAGUAUUAAAGAAGAUACGAUUCAAAGAAUUAAUAAAUGCCUUGAAAGUAUUAAAGAAAAUAAAGCAAAUGUUUCUAAGCUACGUGAAGCUAUAAACAAAGUAGAUGAGGACAUUGCUUUUCACUAUAAACAUAGUAAAGAAAUCAAAGACAGCUGUAGUAACUGGAAGCCAACAUGUGAUGUUUUUCAUAAACAUGAAGAUUAUAUAAAAGACCAGCUUACUGCUUACCAAGAAACCAAUGAGAAAGACAAAAAAAUGUAUCAUGAUUAUAUAUGUCAGUAUGAAGAUGUUUUGAAACAAUACCAACUAAAAUACUCAGAAACACGUUUUUCAUGUAAAUAUUAUGAGAAGAAAAAAGAACAUGAAGAAAUUAAAAAUAGAGUGUUGGCAUGUACUGAACAACUACAAUUGAAUGAAACUAUUCUUAUGAAAUUUCUAGUGCCUGCUCCUUUCCCAUCUCUGACAAAAUGGACAUUAUACGUAGAUAACAGCAGAUACAAAACACAAGAUAUUAGAUAAACAUAAGCACAAUUUAACCAAAAGAGCAUUUCAAGUGGAGAAACAAGCACAUGAUAUCAGUUAAAUAAGAAUUAAACCUUACAACAACACGGCUAGACUAGUUGAAAGAAAAUAAGGAUCAGAACAGCAAGUACGAAAAUGAACAACAAUACAGCAGAGAGGAAAAAGUCUGAAGCGNAGGAACUAUGGACAAGACGAGACAGUAACAAGCAUGAGAUAGCAGAAGAGCCAUAUAGUACCUGACAUGUGAGUCUCUGAAAUUUGUAGGACUGUGACUACUUCAGAGCUAGGGUACAGGUAGAGAGGAGAUGUUCG